rnacentral:rRNA from 1 species
UGGGGAAUUUUGGACAAUGGGGGCAACCCUGAUCCAGCCAUCCCGCGUGUGCGAUGAAGGCCUUCGGGUUGUAAAGCACUUUUGGCAGGGAAGAAACGGCGCGGGCGAAUAACCCGCGCAACUGACGGUACCUGCAGAAUAAGCACCGGCUAACUACGUGCCAGCAGCCGCGGUAAUACGUAGGGUGCAAGCGUUAAUCGGAAUUAUUGGGCGUAAAGCGCACGCAGGCGGUCCGGUAUGUGUGGGGUAAAAGCUCCUGGCUUAACCAGGAGAGGUCUCCAUAAACGGCCGGACUUGAGAGCGAGAGAGGGACACGGAAUUCCAGGUGGAGCAGUGACAUGCGUAGAUACCUGGAGGAACACCAAAGGCGAAGGCAGUGUCCUGGCUCGUUUCUGACGCUCAGGUGCGAAAGCUAGGGGAGCGAAC